AUUGAACGCUGGCGGCAUGCUUUACACAUGCAAGUUGAACGGCAGCGCGGGCUUCGGCCUGGCGGCGAGUGGCGAACGGGUGAGUAAUGCAUCGGAACGUGCCCAGCAUUUGGGGAUAGCCCGGCGAAAGGCGGAUUAAUACCGCAUACGACCUGAACGUGAAAGCGGGGGUCCUAAAGUCCUCGCGCUAAUUGAGUGGCCGAUGGCGUAUACGCUAGUUGGUGGGGUAAAGGCUUACCACGGGGACCAUCCAUGGCUGGUCCGAUAGGACGACUGGCCACACUGGGAAUGAGCCACGGCCCAGACUCCUACGGGAGGCAGCAGUGGGGAGUUUUGGACAUUGGGGGCAAUCCUAAUCCAGCCAGGCCGCGUGCGGGAAGAGGGCCUUCGGGUUGUAAACCGCUUUUGUUCGGGAAGAAAUCCUUUAGACUAAUACCCCGGGGGGGUGACGGUACCGGAAGAAUAAGCACCGGCUAACUACGUG
rnacentral:rRNA from 1 species